rnacentral:rRNA from 1 species
UUCGAGCGGGGUUGAUUAGAAGCUUGCUUCUAAUCAACCUAGCGGCGGACGGGUGAGUAACACGUAGGCAACCUGCCCACAAGACAGGGAUAACUACCGGAAACGGUAGCUAAUACCCGAUACAUCCUUUUCCUGCAUGGGAGAGGGAGGAAAGACGGAGCAAUCUGUCACUUGUGGAUGGGCCUGCGGCGCAUUAGCUAGUUGGUGGGGUAAAGGCCUACCAAGGCGACGAUGCGUAGCCGACCUGAGAGGGUGAUCGGCCACACUGGGACUGAGACACGGCCCAGACUCCUACGGGAGGCAGCAGUAGGGAAUCUUCCGCAAUGGGCGAAAGCCUGACGGAGCAACGCCGCGUGAGUGAUGAAGGUUUUCGGAUCGUAAAGCUCUGUUGCCAGGGAAGAACGUCUUGUAGAGUAACUGCUACAAGAGUGACGGUACCUGAGAAGAAAGCCCCGGCUAACUACGUGCCAGCAGCCGCGGUAAUACGUAGGGGGCAAGCGUUGUCCGGAAUUAUUGGGCGUAAAGCGCGCGCAGGCGGCUCUUUAAGUCUGGUGUUUAAUCCCGAGGCUCACUUCGGGUCSCACUGGAAACUGGGGAGCUUGAGUGCAAAAAAGAAAGUGGAAUCCCCGUGUACCGGUGAAUGCGUAAA